UGAGGAAUAUUGGUCAAUGGACGAGAGUCUGAACCAGCCAAGUAGCGUGAAGGAUGACUGCCCUAUGGGUUGUAAACUUCUUUUAUACGGGAAUAAAGUUAGCCACGUGUGGCUUUUUGUAUGUACCGUAUGAAUAAGGAUCGGCUAACUCCGUGCCAGCAGCCGCGGUAAUACGGAGGAUCCGAGCGUUAUCCGGAUUUAUUGGGUUUAAAGGGAGCGUAGGCGGGUUGUUAAGUCAGUUGUGAAAGUUUGCGGCUCAACCGUAAAAUUGCAGUUGAUACUGGCGACCUUGAGUGCAACAGAGGUAGGCGGAAUUCGUGGUGUAGCGGUGAAAUGCUUAGAUAUCACGAAGAACUCCGAUUGCGAAGGCAGCUUACUGGAUUGUAACUGACGCUGAUGCUCGAAAGUGUGGGUAUCAAACAG
rnacentral:rRNA from 1 species